GCCUACGGGACGCAGCAGUCGGGAAUAUUGCACAAUGGAGGAAACUCUGAUGCAGUGACACCGCGUAUAGGAAGAAGGUUUUCGGAUUGUAAACUAUUUUAGACAGGGAAGAAAAAAGACAGUACCUGUAGAAUAAGCUCCGGCUAACUACGUGCCAGCAGCCGCGGUAAUACGUAGGGGGCAAGCGUUAUCCGGAUUUACUGGGUGUAAAGGGAGCGUAGACGGCAUGGCAAGUCAGAUGUGAAAGCCCGGGGCUCAACCCCGGGACUGCAUUUGAAACUGUCAGGCUGGAGUGCAGGAGAGGG
rnacentral:rRNA from 1 species